CGGAGGAAAAGAAACCAACAGGGAUUCCCUUAGUAACGGCGAGCGAAAAGGGAAGAGCCCAGCUUGUAAAUCUCCGGUUUUCCGGCGAAUUGUAGUCUGGAGUAGCAUCUCUUAAAGCUGUGUCCGCCCAAGCAUCUUGGAAUAGAUCGCCUUAGAGGGUGAGAGCCCCGUAGGCUGGCAUUUGCUUUUUCACGGAGUGCUUACGCAGAGUCGGGUUGUUUGGGAAUGCAGCCCCAAUUGGGUGGUAAACCCCAUCUAAGGCUAAAUACCUGUGGGAGACCGAUAGCAAAAAAGUACCUCGAGGGAACGAUGAAAAGACCGCUGGCAAGCGAGUGAAAGAGUGCAUGAAAUUGUAUAGUGGGAAGGGAUGGCUUGGCGUGCUGCCUACGGGUAUACACUGCUCUUCGAGCUCUUGAAUACACCGUAGGCUGGCUGGUGCCGGCACUUAUGCUUGCAAAUUCCCAACCUAAGGUGUUUGGUUCUACAAGCGCAAGUGCUGAGGAUGAUCGAAGCUCUGUUUUAAACUGCUCCGACAUAGCACCAGCUGAAGCCUGUCCAUCUA
rnacentral:rRNA from 1 species